AUUGAACGCUGGCGGCAGGCUUAACACAUGCAAGUCGAGCGGAGCGAGGGUGCUUGCACCUUAGCUUAGCGGCGGACGGGUGAGUAAUGCUUAGGAAUCUGCCUAUUAGUGGGGGACAACAUUCCGAAAGGGAUGCUAAUACCGCAUACGCCCUACGGGGGAAAGCAGGGGAUCUUCGGACCUUGCGCUAAUAGAUGAGCCUAAGUCGGAUUAGCUAGUUGGUGGGGUAAAGGCCUACCAAGGCGACGAUCUGUAGCGGGUCUGAGAGGAUGGUCCGCCACACUGGGACUGAGACACGGCCCAGACUCCUACGGGAGGCAGCAGUGGGGAAUAUUGGACAAUGGGCGGAAGCCUGAUCCAGCCAUGCCGCGUAUGUGAAGAAGGCCUUUUGGUUGUAAAGCACUUUAAGCGAGGAGGAGGCUACUAGUAUUAAUACUACUGGAUAGUGGACGUUACUCGCAGAAUAAGCACCGGCUAACUCUGUGCCAGCCGCCGCGGUAAAAC
rnacentral:rRNA from 1 species